UACGGGGCGCAGCAGGGGGGAAUUUUGCGCAAUGGGGGGAACCUUGACGCAGCGACGCCGCGUGGGUGAUGAAGGCCUUCGGGUUGUAAAGCCCUGUUGGGGGGGAAGAUAAUGACGGUACCCCCUGAGGAAGCCCCAGCUAACUACGUGCCAGCAGCCGCGGUAAGACGUAGGGGGCGAGCGUUGUCCGGAAUUACUGGGCGUAAAGGGCGUGUAGGCGGCUUUUCAAGUCGGCUGUGAAAUUCCCCGGCUUAACCGGGGGGGUGCAGUCGAAACUGAUGGGCUUGAGUGCAGGAGAGGGUGGUGGAAUUCCCGGUGUAGCGGUGACAUGCGUAGAUAUCGGGAGGAACACCGGUGGCGAAGGCGACCUCCUGGCCUGUUACUGACGCUGAGGCGCGAAAGCUGGGGGAGCAAACAGGAUUAGAUACCCUGGUAGUCCCAGCUGUAAACUCUGGGUACUAGGUGUGGGGGGCUUCGAUGCCCUCUGUGCCGUAGUUAACGCAUUAAGUACCCCGCCUGGGGAGUACGAUCGCAAGGUUGAAACUCAAAGGAAUUGGCGGGGGAGCAC
rnacentral:rRNA from 1 species